rnacentral:rRNA from 1 species
GCCGGGUAGCUAAGUCGGGAAAGGAUAACCGCUGAAAGCAUCUAAGCGGGAAGCCUGCUUCGAGAUUAGGAUUCCAUUACCUUCGGGUAUGAAGAGCCCUGAUAGACUAUCAGGUUGAUAGGCCGGGUGUGUAAGUGGCGAAAUCCAUUAAGCUAACCGGUACUAACGCUCGAAUACUUGACCAUAU